rnacentral:tRNA from 1 species
GUGAGCUUAGUUCAGUUGGUACGAAUAUUGCAUAUUAUAUGCAGGGACUGGGGUUCGAACCCCAGAGACCCCA